AAAAAUGCUCACACAUAUAAAUACUUUUAUAGCACUAGUUAAAAGUCUUAGGCAGUCUGAAUGUUUAAUGUAAAUUUUGAAUUAGAUGUUUAUUUCCGACUUCUGUGUCAGAAAAAAAAAAUACAAAAAAAAAAGGGGCAAAUUUUAGAUUUCUAAAAUGAUGCUGCAUCACAGGGCAGAGUAACACAAUCUGCCCUCUUUAACAUACAUGAGGUCAUAGAUGGCUGGGAGUAUGCCCCUCCCACCCAAUUUUGCUAUCUUGGACUCCUGGCCAUGGAUGGCUGUGGCAUCAUCAGGAUUUUGCGGUCUCUUAAUGAUUGGGCAAACACUUUUCUGUUUCAGUUAUUUCUCUAGGUCUGCCCUAAGACUGAGGCUGCUGGUAUGAUGGAGAUCAGAAUAAAAGGUUUCAAACACUGUGACAACUUUUCCUGUUUAAAUCUUCAACAAGUUUAACAAUUUAUUUGGGUAUUGUUAAACAAGUCCUGUUUAACCAAGGUAUAAUAAUUAAAAAAGCACCAAUGCGGUGUCUUCCGCAAUUUUUUUUUUUUUUUUCUGAGCUCGUCCACACCAGUCCCAUUGCAUUAUGGGAUUUGACUCAUGUAUUGUCUACUGGUUAUAUAUUGCAGAAUCAGUAUACAGCAGUACGCAAUCAACACUAAUGUCAAAGAAUCCCUAAGUCUAACUGAAUUCAUUAAUUCAUUCAUUCAUUCAUUUAUCCCUAUCAGGGUUCCAAUGAAUAUGGAACCUAUCCUGGGAACACUGUACAUGAAACAGGAUUUGACCAUGGAUGGGACACUAGACCAUCACGGGGAAGAAUGCAGAAUGCACACAUACACACACACACACACACACACUCACAGACUCAUUCAACUUUGAGUCACCAAUCCACCUACCAACAUGAAAUUGCGAGGUGGUAGAAAAUCAGUCAGAGAAAACCAGAGGAAACCCACACAGACACCGGGGGAACAUGUGACACUGCAUACAUAUCAGGAGUAAACCAGGGAUGCUAGAGAUGGUGGAUGGCAAUGCUACCUGCUGCACCAGUAUGUCUAUAUCUAAAUGCCUAUUCUACCUCAAACCAAUAAUAGUUGAUCCACUCUCAGACUGCACAGGAUUAAACUAUAUGAUUUCAUAUUAAACUGAUUGUUGUCCUUCAUAAAAACUGAUAAAGUUCUAUAGUCCUGAGAUGAUUGAUGCAUGGAAGGUGCUGAACACACAGCUGUGUGUGUGAUACACAGCCCCUAACACUGAUUCAGCCCAUAAAGCUGACACACAGACAGCCGAGCCGCAGGCGUCUGGACUGGGUUAAUGGAGAAUGGGCCAAGGCUCGGGGUAAUGUUGUUGGAUAAAUGAUUAUUGAUUAGAUAAAGGUUGAGUUAAUCAUUAGCCUUCAUCCGUUUUACCCACUGACUCUGACCUUUCCCUUCACACUGCAGUUUUCCAUAUGAUGAUUUGAUCAUCUCUCUUUCUUCCUCUCUAGCUCACUUUAUCUCUCCUUCAAUCCUACAAUAGAGAGAGUGGAAAAGAGCGAGAGAAUGAAUUGUGCCGCGGUAUCUCUAUAGUACUCUAUAUGUACUUAUACGCACGUAUGGUAUUAUUAGGUAUUAAUUACUAAUGUUCGGUUUUAUAUCUUUGAGAUUUCAAUGAGUAAAGAUUUAGGGAAUGUGUGAAUGAAAGAGAAAAAGCGAAAAAAAGGAACCACAGGAAAAAAAAUGAUGUUAAAUAUAUUACUGUUUGAAUACAGUAUUUUCCUUUUUGUUUUGUUUUUCUAAAUGACUUUCACACUAACAGCUUUAUAAUAUCCACAUAUAGAGCUGUCAUCUGCUGAGCACUUUAGUAUGUUUGCGCUUCACAUUUACGGCAUGUGUCUGUGUGUAUAUGAGAGAGUUCUCAGCUUGUUACGACACAUUAAAAUCCGGUUUCUAUAGCAGCUGUAUUUAUUGAAUUACUCUGAAUUUCCCUCUUAAUCGACAACUAACCAGCUCCAGAAGCUUUCUCCCAUCUGGGCGCAAUCAGCGCAGGAAAUCCGUCGCUUCCCUUUUCUUCUAUUUAUUCACAAACCAGUGCUGGAAUCGUGAUGUUUAUUUAAAGUAAUGCUGCACAGAGAACUACUGCGCUGAGGGAAGAAAAUGAAACGUUUUCACACAGAAUUACAUCUCCCAAAACAAUUGUUUCUGCCACUGAUCCCUUUUCUUAAAGCCCUGGCUCUGCCGUGAUCAGACUAACUGCUGCGUGGCUUCGUUUCUACACUCGGCCUUUAUCGUGAGGAAUAUGAAGGCCCGAGAGGAUCAGAUCUAACUGUACUGGCUGGGCACUUGGUGUUCAGUACAGAAUGAGGGCAAAUCCUCAGAAUAUAAGAUUAUAUCUAAAGUACUGACAACAAACUUUACAUGGAAGACAGUGUUCCUUUUUUAAAAUUAAAAAAAAAUUUUUUUACACAUAUUGUAUUUUUGUGCAUAUGUAUAGUAUUUGUGGGGCGUGGCUUUGUGCUUGUAAAUACAAAUAAAUCUUCAUUUCUCAUUUUUGACCAAAGAAUAUACAUGCAUGCUGUUCAACAUAUGCUGUUCAUCUUGACUUGAGCUUCGAGGGGUAGUGUAAUCAAUCACACUACCCCGUCAUUGAUUAUUUUCCUAUAACCGCAUAUGUUGAAUACAGCAUGCAUGUGCAAUAUGUAAAAAAUAAAUAAAUAAAUAAAAAAUCUAAAUCUAUAGUAACACAUCCCAAAGUGUCACUCUUAUACCACAGUAAUGAUGACAUUUUUUUUUUUAAUUAUUUGACAAAGAACUACAAAUCAUACUUGUUUUAUCAAUUCCUAGUUACAUUUAAUGUUGUGGAAUGUCCACAAAACAAGAAAAAAAAAGUGACUUCCUGUUAUCGUUUCUAUAAUAGCAGCUAUCAACAGUCAUUCUUUCACCAUGCUCAUCUUUCUUUCUCUUUAAGUUUAAUAAGACAAAAAAAAUGCAGCUUGCCAUGUUCGAAAGAAACCGCAAAGACAUCCAUUCUGCAGACUUUCUCAUGUUGGAAAACUUCACCACUUUACCUCUGACUGUUUCAAAGCAUUGACCCCAGUAACUCCUUCCAAAAAUACCAAAUAAACAUCUGCUCGUAGAAAAGUCACCAGAUUAACAUUUAGACUUGUUUAUUUAUCUGUUCAUUAAUCUGCCCCGUGUAUGCUGUUACCAUAGAAAUGAUAACUUAUUACGAUAAGCCUGUGUGAGCCAAGCUCCUGUCCUAGGUGUGCUGUUAUGGAAAAUGAAUCAACACCUUCUGUCCAAUCAAAAUGAAGUAUUCAACAACACUGUGGUAUAAUAUUCAAAUAAUAAUGUUUUUAUUUAUUUAUUAUUUAAUCUCACAUUCCAGCUGUGUUUUAUUAGCACUCAUAGUUGCUUUCAUGUGGAGCGCCAAAUACAGGAAGGUGUUUUUAUAUCUUUUUUUUUUCUUCUUUUUACAAAUAUUGAAAAUAUUUCCAAGUAAGAAAAAUCUAUCAGGAAUUUUCACCUUUAGGGAUUGAUUUCCAAACUAGUUUCCCUGAUGAAACAAUAUUAAUUUAAUUAUUUUGCACUGCGCUCUAUGUAUUAUCUGGAUUAGUUUUAAAAUAAAAUUAGAUUUCUACGCUCUAUUUCUAAAGAGAUGACUCUGGUCAGUGAGACAUCUGUUGGUAAGUAGUGAACACAACAUGAGGUUUAAAAUGGAGCCGGUUUUGGUGCAAACGGCUUUAAAAUAGAAUUUUCAGUGCAACAGAUGUUAGCAUGUCCGUAAACAAACAGUGCCACCACAACUGUAUAAAACUUCCUUUCAUAACAAUGUUGUAAUAUUUUAUUUUAAAGAGGACAACACACAAAAAAAUAUUGGAUUCAUAUGCUUUAAUUGUAAAAUUUCAGAAUACAAAACAUAAGAAAACAUAAGUAAAUAAAUAAAGAAAAGGAGAAAGAAAAGUGGACUGAAGGGGAAAGCUUGUAGCUCUGAAGUGUUGCGCGUUUGACAGACAGGCCAAAGCCUCGGCCUCAUGAAAACAUAAGCUGCUCAAGCGGGUCUUUAUGAUGAUGAAAACCAUAUGGAUGUAAGUUACACAGCUUAAAUAAGCAUUUGCACAACUUGCUGGCCAACGCUGCACACCCGGCUGACUAAGAAAAUAAUUAGGAUUUGUGAGUGGGGGUAAAGCACAGAGUUUAAUACCUCCCAAACACACACACACACACACACACACACACACACAUGCACUCACACUUGUGUUUCAGCUUUUCAUAACCCUUAGAGUGAUGCUUGAAAAAAAAAAAAUAUAUAUAUAUAUAUAUAUAUAUGCAUAAAUAUGAUCUAAAACAUCAUCAGAUUCACACCCAAGAUCAUUUCACUCAAUAAGUAAAUGAUGAUGUAUGAUAUUUUUGUCUCAUUUGUUUAAUUGGGUUCUUUUUGUCUACUUUUAGGACUUGUGUGAAAGGAGUGUGAAAAUCCGAUGAUGUUAUAGGUCAUAUUUAUGCAGAUAUAUAGAAAAUUCAAAAGGGUUCACAAUCUUUAAAGCACCACUGUAAAUCCAGAUGAGCAAAUGUAACCAGUGACACCAUGUUUGUGAAGAAAACUAUUCAACUUUGACAGAAUGGUGUUAAUGUCAGGUUUCUGUACAGAUUACUAAUAAAUGUUAUAUAUUGUGCUUUUUGUAGCACCACAAAGCUGUAAGCACAUGUUAAUCCAGCAGGAUGAUAUUUCACAGUCAUAAAGCCAGCGAUGUUUGGUUUUUUAAAACAUGUGCUUGUGUGGAUGGAAAUGCAUUUGAUGUGCCACCCACAUCCUGUACAUUCCUGAUCUCCUGCAAUCUCAACCACACUCACAAUUAUUUCCUCAGCCCACUUCAGUCCUCCAUUUCUUACUUUUCUUCAUUUUAAUUUCCUUGUGUUCCCUCUCUCUCUCUCUCUCUCUCUCUCUCUCCACUUUUUGUUCCUUCUGUAAAUAUUUCAUUUGCUCGUCUGCACGUGUUCGUAUUGUGACGUGUCAUUUAGCUCUAGCAAAGUGGAGCAGGCCACACUUUCAUCUCCGCUGAAGAGCGAGAGAGCCGAUAGAGGGAUGUAACCUUGAUGGGAUGUGAAAAGGUGUAGACGACAGGAGCUGAUACCUAAAUGUGCUUCCUGUGUUCUGCCUACCCGGUGCUGUCAAAGCCCACUUCAGGCUAGGCAGCCCUCUGAUGGUGGAUGUGUGCACGUCAUUGUGAUGAAAUGGUGAUCAUGAUGGGUGUGUGUGUGUGUGUGUGUGUGUGUGUGUGUGUGUGUAUGUGUGCAUGAAAGAAAAAGAAGAAGAAAGACACAGAGAUGGGAGAUGAGUGGGACUUCGACUGUGCGACAAUAGGAACGUGUUGUCUCAGACAGGCUCAGACAGACAACAAGUCUGCUGCUGUGUACAUGAUCUGUUGUAUCUAAUAUUUGUGUAUAGAAAGGUAACUCACUAUACUGUUCAUGUAUGCUUUUAUACCUGUCACCUGAUUUCAGUGGAUGAGAGUGAAAGUAUAAAAGAAAUAGCUUGAGAAUAGAUGUAUAGUACAUGAGCAUGAGUAUAGAGAGUGUCAAUAUAGGGGUAUAAAUACACACGUAUCAGAGUAUUAGGGUGUGCAUAUAAGGGUAGGUGCAACCAUUUGAAAUUGUUCCUGAUUGUUGCCGUUGUUUGAACACACACAAGAGUUAGUAUACAUCCUUCCAUCUAUCAUGUAUCAUAAAGUCCAGACAACAAUUUGUUACAGCAUUUUUUUUUUUCUUUUUUGCAUCAGCUGUAUGAUUAUAAAGCUAAUUUUCUGCUGCUGGUUGAAAGGAAGUUGUGUAAAAACAAGAAAUGAACUUAUUUCCUGUUUGUUAACCAGCCUAACUAAGCAGCUAGCUAUCAAAUAUAUAUUUAUUUCAAAUCUACACUUUGGUAUGUAUGCUAGUCUCAUAAUAGACAGGCACACCUUUAUUUAAUUAUUUAGUGGGUGGCCCAGCGGGUUGUGUUGCCGCCUCACAGCUCUAGUAUCCUUGAUUCGAUUCUGAGCUUGAGUUACUGUCUGUUUGGAGUUUCAUGUUCUCCAUGUGGGUUUCCUCUAUGUUCUUCAGUUUCCUCCCACCGCCCAAAAACAUGCCAGUAGGUGUAUUGGCUACUCUAGAUGUCUGUGUGUGUGUGUGCUGGCAUCCAAUCCAAGGUGUUUUAACAUCUCAUGCCCAGUUUUCCUGGAUUGGACUUUAGGUGGUUACUAAAGAUCAAUGAAUGGAUUAAUAAGUAUUUGUUUAACAUUCAGUCCAUACAGGAUUUCACAGACUUUUUUGUGAUUGUUGCAGGCAAAAAUGCCGGAUUUUGCUGCAGGUUUUUUCUAAAUUUGUCAUGUUUGUUGGUAAAUGAGACCUUUUAGCUGUACUCAUGUUCGACAUACAUGAAUCCAAGGGGGCUCUGGCUGAAUGCUCAUUGUGAUGAUGUCACAUGACAUGUCUUGGCCCAAAUGUGUGGAAAAUCUGUGUUAAUUUAGAAAAAUUGCAAGCUCCUGCGAAUAUUGCGGUGUUUCCUUGAUUUUGCGUUCAUUUCUGUGAUCACAAAAUUGCAAAAUCCUGGAGGGACUGAUCACAUGAUUUCACUGCUUUAAAUACUUCAGUGGAUCUGAUAAGAAAAUAUGAAAAGGUAUAAAAAUAUGAUCCAGGAUUUCCGGCCAUUAUCGGCAUCAAUAGCAAUCCUACAUCCCUAUUUCUCAUGUAGCUUCGUUUAAUUAUUCUGUAAUGAAUAAACCACGAUGGGAUGUUCUCUUAUAGGAAAAUAAUCAGUGGCAAUUGGUGUGAUGUGGGCCGUUACCACACUGGAUGUUUCCAAUAACAGCAUGUCCUAAAGGGUUUUAUUGCUUUUAUACCACUGCAAUAUGACAAUUAUUACUUUUUUAUUUUGUUAAUGAACAACACAUCAUGCUUUUAACUGAUUAGAACAUCCUUAAGACUUAAGGAUCCUUAAGACCAGCCUCUCUCUAUUUUUCUCUCUCUUGACAUAAAUAAGACAAAGAAAAUAAACACAGCUUGUCAUGUUACCAAAAAACCACAAGAAGGCAAAGCCAUCUGUCCUGAAGUCUCCUGUGGCGGAAAACUUGACCAUUAGAGCUGACACUGGAGACUCCUUCCAUUAGUAUUGGAUAAACAUCUCCUUACAGAAUUAUACAUUUUGAAUUGUCUAUCAUACAGGUCCCUGAAAAUUAGCUGCUACUAUCCAUCCAUCCAUUUUCCAUACCACUUAUCCUAAACAGGGUUGCGUGGAGCCUAUCCCGGGGAACUCGGGGCACAAGACAGAAGAGACCCUGGACGGGGUGCCAACCGAUUGCAGGUCACAACUGCACACAGAUUCACACAUCCAUUCACACACUACGGACCAUUUGGAAAUGCCAAUCAGACUACAGCGCAUGUCUUUGGACUGGGGGAGGAAACUGGAGUGCCAAGAGGAAACCCCUGAGACACGGGGAGAACAUGCAAACUCUGCACACAGAGGGUGGAGGCAGGAUUCAAACCCCCAAACCCAGAGGUGCGAGGCUAACGUGUUAACCACUAAGCCACCAUGCUCCCUAUACAAAUGAUAAUCUUAUUAGAACAAACAUCCCAAACCUGUGAUCUGAAUUAUAGCUGGAACUACUGCAGAGCCACUGUCAUAGAAAAUGAAUCCACACCUACUGGCCAAUCAGAAUUGAGAAUUCAGCUGUGAUGUGGUAUAAUCGUAAUUAGCGGAAGAUCUGAGCAGAAGAUUAGCUGUAAUCAUAGUAACAGUAAUCGUAGAUGUAAUUUUGUGAGUUAAGAUCUCAGUAGUAUACUGUAACUACUUACGUUUCUCUAAACAUUAGCUGUAGUUCAUGUAUUAGAGAAGCCUAAUUCGUAAGUUAUCUAACUACAUUUUUAAGAUCUGAUACCUAAUACGUACAUGAUUCUAUAUCGUCUUCCUCAGUUGACGUGAGGAAAGUGUCGUGUUUUGAAAGUUCAUUUUGCUUGAACAGACAAUAAAACACACUUUUACCUAUUACCAUGUGCUGUUUACUUCCUGCCACACUGUUUGAUGGACAGCCUGUUCCAGGCUUUCAGUUUCGAGCAGUUUGAGAAUGCACUUCUGCCUAAACUAGGCCACAUUGCAUACUCUCGAGGUUCAUUAAAAAAUUUUCCUGUUUGACUGAAUUUUAUGUUCAUUGUGAGCAUGAUCAUCUCUAUUGAUCUUCUUAAAUAUUAGUCUGCAUACAUAUAUACACAUACAACAUAGCCUUUCUACCAAUUCUCACUUUUUCAUUCUCCCUCCCUAUAAGAGGGUAAGACAUCUGUUUGUGAGAGAGGAGGUCUGAUGGCUAAAAUGUUUGUGUGUGUGUGUGUGUGUGUGUGUGUGUGUGUGUGUGUGUGUGUGUGUGUGCGUGCACGUGGUGUGUAAGCAUUAUUUUCCUCUGAGCCUGUGUGUAUGCAUGAUGAGGAAGGAGGGCUGACAGAGAGAGGCCAUAUCAGUGCCGUAUCACACCUAAUUAAUAAAGCCGGUCCGUGCUAAUUAAAAAAAAGUGUGAUUAAUGCCACUGCCAGGAUUUCAUGGCACACUGUGGUGUCGUUUUGAGUCACAGAUCUACUGCCAUGUAGAGUAAGAACACAAACACACACAAACACAUACACACAUCUCUCUGUCAUGAAUAUGAGAGAGAAGUACAGUUUAAAAAAGUGAAAAAUAAAAAUAAAACAAUAAUAUGUUUUGAAAAGAAGAAGCUGCUCAGCAUCUUCAGAGCACUGUAGCCUUGAAACUGCUUAAGAAAUACAAAUCCUAUAUUCUGUUCUAUUCUAUUCUAUUCUAUUCUGUUCUAUUCUAUUCUAUUCUAUUCAGUUCUGUUCUGUUCUAGUCUAAUCUAAUCUAGUUUUGACCAAACUGGGAUAUGCUAGAAAAAGAAUUUCACUGUGCUAUAUUUGUAUAUUUGACAAAAGCCAUCUUUCUAUUCUAUUCUAUUCUAUCCCAGUCUAGUCUAUUCAAUUUAUUGUAUUCUUUUCUACUCCUUGCCAAGUAAUUUCUUGUGAGGAAAAUCAUUUCUCUAUACUGUAUGUGUAUAUCUGACAAUAAAUGCUGUAUUUCUAUUCUAUUCUAUUCUAUUCUAUUCUAUUCUAUUCUAUUCUAUUCUAUGCAACUGUAUUUAGAUUUGUCAAUCUAUCGAUUUCUAUCCUUGAUAACAACCUGGUGUAUGCAAGCAAAAAAUAAUUAAUUAAAAAAAGAACAGAAAAUAAUUUUCUUGUACUGUACUUGUACUAUACGACAAAACGCCUGUCUAUUCUAUUCUAUGCUAUUCUAUUUUAUUCUAUUCUACCCUCAAUAUCCAGCUCCCUAACAAGCUGAAAUAUACAAUGAACAUAAUUUCACUGUAUUGCACUUUUACAAUACAUGUUCCAGUAAGACUUCCGGUGUCUCAUUUCCAUUUGUUUUAUUCCAUUAUAUUCAAUUGUAUUUAAUUCUAUUUCAAUCGAUCAUAUCCUUCAUAACAAGCUGAGAUAUGCAAAUUCAAGAAUGUAUUCUCUGUAUUGUACUUUUCCAUUCUAGUCUAUUCAAAUCUAUUCUAUUUAGCUCUGCUCUGUUCUGUUCAAUUCAAUUCAAUUCUAUUUUAAAUGACCCACACAUUCCAGCUUUGCAGUCCAUUUCUAACCAUUUGUAUACUAUCCUUUUCUGUUCUAAUAUAUGUUUCUCUUUGUUGCUGAGAUUAUUAUAUGUUAUUUAUUGUACACCUAGAAUAUUUUGUAUUUAAUGGUCGCCACUAUUUCCCCUGGGCGUCUGCAUCUCAUAGCUAGCUUGCAUUAUUAAAAGAGCUAAAACAGGGCUGCGGCCAUUAGUUAGUGUGUUAGGAUCUGUGUGCUGGGCAGUGUUUGUCUGUUUCUCAUCGGGGUAAACAUUUGUUCCAGUUGUAGAUGGUGUGCAGCAGGAACAUGAAUCAGGGACGAGGAGCGGAAAGCACUGUGACAGCUGCAGCUCAUUACCAGCACUAUUACUGAUCUAGGGGACUGCUGGGGGAAAUUCCUCCUUCCAAGGAAAGCGUUCCUGUUUACCAUACAGCACUGCAGAUCAGGAGCUGCACACACAGAUGCACAAACACACAUACAUAAGCACACACAUGCCUAUGUUUGGUUGGGGUUUUUUUUUCUUUUUUUUUUUUUUUUACAUCCUACCAUAUGUGAGCAUUUGCCUUCAGUGCUUAAACACUAACGUGCAUCCUCGCUUUCAGUUUACAUUAAUACACUCUCUGUCAGAGUACAGUGUACAGUAUUUACACCUAGCUUUCUGUCUUUUAUUAUUGCACACACACACUCACACACAUAUGCUCCUUCAAUCAGGCACGUCUGACUCAGCCUUGCUGCUUUACGUCAUUUGGCCCAAUCAGGCAGACCUUCACCGGCCCAUUAAAGUGGAAGUCUUUCUGUUUUUCUUGGUCACCUUUUUACAGGUCAAGUAAACAGAAUUAUUUUUGUAAAGAUUCGGUCAUAUCAGCCUCCUUCCUGUAAUAAUCACUACUCCUUCUUCAAAUAUCGUCAUUCUACUGAUAUUUUAGCUUACUUUAAAUUUAUGUUUGAAAAAAUGAGGAAACCGUAAGAAGUGUUUCCAAAAAGAUUCAUAAAGUUAAUUACAAAACGUUAACUUCAUCUUAAGAACGUCCUUUUAAUUAACACACGUCUCUCGUUAAAAAUUCUAAAUGCUUGUAAUAUAAAGUCAUUUGUAGGUUGUUUGUAAAUUAAAAAGUAAAUUGACCCAAUAGUGCUGCUCUGCCUCAAAAAGAAGACAAAGACAAAUGAGAGUAAUUUGGGUAAGAAAACCCUUAAAAAAAAAAAAAAAAAAAAAAAAAACAACCUCACUGAUCUGUUUGCCUAAACUGGGUUAUUAUCAGUACUACUACUACUGUUGUUGUUUUGUGCUUGUUUUGUAGUUUCAGAGUUGUUGUACAUUUUAGUUCACUCUUCACCGAACAAAAAGACCAAUUUAUGUUCAUCAUUCAAAUAUGAGAAUAAAGCUGCUGCUGAUGUGCCAAGUGGAGCUGUUUGUCUUAAUGCUGUGGUGUGAUCAAAUAUAAACUAAUCCACUAAUCCAUCUCAGUGAUGGGGAACAGUAGCGUACCCAGUGUAUUAGUCUUACAAAACCUAAAAUAUGACACUGAUGCAAUCAGGGUUACAUAUAAUUCAUUAAGUCUCCAUGAUUUAUAAGGAGUAUAUAUUUCACAGAAAUGUCUUUAGAUGUCAGGGUUGGGGAGACAAUUCAGGUGGCAGUGUUACCCAGUGCUAACCAUGAAGCCACACCCCUGAUGAUAUGCUAAUAGAGAUAAACAGGGCAAUGGGGGGGGGGGGGUUAAUGUGGGUCUUGGGAGAUAAUGACCCUUCUUGGUUGGGUACAGGAUAAAACUGCAGUGCUUUUGAUGCACCACUAUAACUCUGCCAUGUGCACAGCGACAUACAAAUUUCAACCAGAAUUUGGGAUGGCUAGCAUAAAACAGAAAGCAUAUUAGAACAAACACCUCUUGAAUUUCAUCUACAGCUUCCAGAAAGAAUUCUCAGUAUGAAACUGGACGUGUGACCACCAAAAACUUUUUUAUAAACAUUUUGGCCGGGGAAGUACUCCUGAGAAUUUUAUUUGGACCAACUGCAAUUUUCCUAAGAGUAAAAACUUAAUGAACACUAAUUUGGCUACAGAGUGAAAGUAGAUUUCCUAUACAUGUCUAUUUGCUAUUACCUUUUUGCUCACAGCCCAUAGCUGAGGAGCAUAUUUCAGGGUUCAAAGCAAGGUGAAAGGAUUGAUAUGCAUAUUGGAUGGGAUUUAGAAGAACACCAGAGAAGGGAAACUAAAACACUUGCCUAAUGUGGAAGUCCAGGAGGAAGAGGAGAGAAAUAGAAGAGCAGAGUAUGGCAUUUCCUGACCAGGAUAAGGAGGAACAACACCAGGCUAAAGUGAGUUAGAACUCAGGGAUAAAAGAGAAGCUCGUUGAUCUGUGUUAUUUUUUAUUUUCCCAUAUUUUUGUUUAAACACUAUAAUAAAGUGCUCGUUUUAAGAACAGAGUAAAACAAGAAUAUUCCAAUGUACAAAGUCUAACUUGACUAACAGUGUCAAAAGAAAUCUGUAAGAAAAUAUAAGUGAAUACAUAGGCAACAUUUUACACUCUCUUUAUCCAUUGGGCAAGUUGGAACCAAUAUUAAAGAUCUUACAUAUUGUGCCUCUAAAAGUGACUUGUUUUGCAAGAACUGCUUUUAAUAUUAAUAUUAAUAUCAUUUUUAUUGAUAUCUUCCCCCUCUUCAAACAAAAAUGGAAUGCCAUCCCCCUUUAUUUUUAGGUGACGACAACAUGAGAUUUAGAAAAUAGUUUAACCAAUCCUGCUUCAUCCUGAAAUGUAAUAAAGUUAAGAAAAAGUGGCAAAUUGUUGAUUUUGCGUACAUCUAUAUGCUAGUUAAGAGCACUGUCUAUUGGAUUCCAUUUAUGUUUUUCUCACUGAUCCAUUUUGCCAGACUCUGGCUGGGUGGAGUCACAGAAAUACCUAGUAAUAGGUAAGAAAAGCUUUCGGCAAAACUGCUGUUAAGUUGCUUUAAGACUCAUCUUUUUUGGGAAACACAUCCUGGUUUUAUGCCAUCUGGUUUCAUUAUCGAUAAUCAAAAUAACUGACGCCAGAAUCCUCCACCCUCAGGAAACAAGUGCUCCAAAAAUAAUACUGGCGGCUUAUUCUUAUUAUAGGUGCCUUCCAGUAACUUACUCCCUCUCAAUAACGACACUAUAAACAUUUAAGCACAUACGUCGCUGAUGUAUACUCUCCACUCUACAGCCAACAGUGGCACAGAGGUCCAGGCCAUGAGCUUGGGCCGAUUGCAUUGGGUUAAUGUAUUAAUUUCUUGGCGGCCCUCCAGAAUAACAUAAAUCAAAAGCAGACCAAACAGCACCUUGUGUUUUGAGGGGGUCUCACCCUUUUUGACCUCUGCCAAUUUUGAUCUUAUUUCGCUUUAACUUUGCAGAUCAGACUUUAAUUUUGAAGCAGGUUGGAGGGACAGUGAUGAAUAGGGUGCAUCGCGUGGAGCUUAAAUUACCCUCUCUCUGGUGAUGGGGGAUCAGGAGGUGCAGGCAGCAGCAGGAGGGGGUGAGGGUGGGCCUCCCAUGACCUAGUAACAGACAGAGAAAGAGAGCUGGUCAGCACUUGCCCUCACAACCCUGCAAGCUAGCACACCCAGAGAGAGAGAGAGAGAGAGAGAGAGAGAGAGAGAGAGAGAGAGAGAGAGAGAGAGAGAGAGAGGAGUAGGUCUAAUGAGCAUAUGGAAAAGUGAGGAACACACUUCACUGAUGAGAGGCCCAAGAAAAGUUCAAUCUCAGAGUCUGUGUGUUUCACAUGAAACCUCACUCUUGAAUUCAGUAUUCAACAAAAAGUAUGAGUUAUUUUUGUUGAAUAAUUUGUUGAAUAAUGAGUAUGUGUGCUUCAGUAAAGACAUAAAGCAUAGGAGUUUGUUGAAUGAAUUAUGCCUGUUCCAUUGUACUGGAUCACUUUCAUGAACAUUACAUCUGAGUUAGUAUGAUGCAAUACAGUGGUUAUUAAAGUCACCAUAUUUUAUUUCCAAUAAUGAAUACAUUGCUUGACAUGGUGGUUUAAUAAACAACAGAAACAUGGUAUAGAAGUGCCUAGACUUUUACUCUCAUCAGGAAAUGCAGACUUUAUGGUGAAUGUGGUAAAUGGCAGGCUGGUAUAACAUAGCCUCUAUUUACAUAUUAGAACCUGAUUGGCUCUUUGAAUUUUAUGAUGCAGUAAGACUUGUUUGUCUAAUACAAACUUGAUUUUCCAGUCAGAUUUUCAGCUCCUCUGUUUCACAAUUAGCAAAAAAAAAUUAAAAUAAAAUAAAAAUAAAAAAUAAAAAAUUAUUUGAGCUAACCGGAUGAAUCCCAUUGAAAGAUUUUAUUCUAAAAAAAAAGUUUCAUGAGGAUUAGGGUGACAUUUGAAUUUUGUAAAUGAUUCCAUUCAUGUAUUUCACAUUAUAUGUACACUCAUCAGCCCUACUACUACUACUAGUACUACUACUACCAUUAUUAUUAUUAUUAUUAUUAUUAUUAUUAUUAUUAAGAACAGUAGUAGUAGUGGUGUUGUUGUUGCUGUUUUAAAUAUUGCUGUCACUGCUCUUGCUCUUCAUCUUUUUCUUGUUGUUGUUGUUGUUGUUGUUGUUAUUAUUAUUAUUAUUAUUAUUAUUAUUAUUAUUAUUAAGAACAGUAGUAGUAGUGGUGUUGUUUUUGUUGUUGUUUUAAAUAUCGUUGUCACUGCCCUUGCACUUCAUCUCUUCUUUAUUAUUAUUAUUAUUAUUAUUAUUAUUAUUAUUAUUAUUAUUAUUAAAAGUACUAUCAUCACUAGUAGUAGAGCAGCAGCAGCAGCAGUGGUAUAUUAUGCAUUAGUGUAAAUGCAUGUAAAAAUGCAACAGAGACAUUUGGGAUGUGUGUAAAAGGAAGUAUUUGC
ensembl:lncRNA